UUGGUCAGCGAUUUGGCAGAGUACAACCCCUCUAAUUUCUUUCAUGCCGCAGACGUUGAGCUUUCACCAACAAUCUCGCAUAGGAAAUUAUCAGUUACGCUCAUGAAAAUCGCAUUCAAGGCUCUCUCCUUCAAAUCAGCCUUCUCUGCCUCUUUCAUAUCUUUUGGAAAGUUAUCUUCGAUUGCCUUCCGUAGACAUUGCAUGAUCAAAGAAAAUUUGAUUUUAAUCUUCCACAGACAGAAACUCGAUCCGCCAUCAAACUUCUUCAUCUCAUAUCUCGUUGAAGACGACGCCAUUCGUAAACCCUAGAUGUCAUACACAAAGCUCUAAUACCAGUUUGUUAUAAUAGAUACGCAAAUCUAAGGCACACACACAUAUCGCACAAUCACACAGUAUAGAA
rnacentral:misc_RNA from 1 species